GGGAGGCAGCAGUGGGGAAUAUUGGACAAUGGGGGAAACCCUGAUCUAGCAACGCCGCGUGAGUGAUGAAGGUUUUCGGAUCGUAAAGCUCUGUCUUCAGGGACGAAUAAUGACGGUACCUGGAGAGGAAGCCCCGGCUAACUACGUGCCAGCAGCCGCGGUAAUACGUAGGGGGCCAGCGUUGUCCGGAAUUACUGGGCGUAAAGGGCGCGUAGGCGGCCCAUCAAGUCAAAUGUGAAACCCCUCGGCUUAACCGGGGACUUGCGUUUGAAACUGGAGGGCUUGAGUGCAGGAGAGGAAAGUGGAAUUCCUAGUGUAGCGGUGAAAUGCGUAGAUAUUAGGAGGAACACCAGUGGCGAAGGCGGCUUUCUGGACUGUAACUGACGCUGAGGCGCGAAAGCGUGGGGAGCAAACAGGAUUAGAAACCCCUGUAGUCCG
rnacentral:rRNA from 1 species